GCUCUCUUGAGUUCCUUCAGUCUCUUCCCUAUCGCUCUGUACUCACAAGUCCAUGUAAUGGGUUCACAGUUUUGAAUCUGUAAAGGUGGCAGGACACGAAGAAGCUGCUAUCCUUACAACAGGGAUAAGUUCUGUCAAGGUAGACGGCCAGUACUCUACGGACAUCCAACAUGUGGAGUGAUCUCUCUAAAUUGGACUGUGGGUCAUGGAAGAACGCCAACAGGAUUACUUCUAGAUUGAUGUGGAAACUGGUGUUUAUUUUAUGAACAAAGGACAAGUCCAUAUGCAUGACUGCUUUGUCUUUGUGAAAUCUGACAUAAGGAGAGUCAGACCUAAGAGCACACAGUUCCCCUACCCUUCUGGCCAAGGUGAUGGCUAUGAGAAAAGCCAUUUUAAUAGACAGAAACUGAAGAGAAACAGAAGCCAUAGGUUGGAACGGACUGUUCAUGAGGCCUGUUAGGACCAGAGAAAUAGACCACUACGGUGCCGGGGCCCACACAUGUGAAUAUGUGUUUUCCAGGCCCUUGAGAAUUUUUUUGGAAAUGGGGUGAGGAAAAACAGUAGAGGCAUCCAUGUAACUGGAGAUGGUGACAAGAUGGAUCUUAACAGAUGUAUUAGAGAGACAGCCAAUUUCAGGCUAGACAGAUAUUUCAGUACUUACAAUAUGGUAGCUCUUGUAUGCAAGACGGAGUGCACUUCGCAUAAAGUGUGAAGUGCUUCCUCUUUGGUUUUUCUUGUAGAGGGUUUCUUUUCAUUAAAGAGGAUCUUCUCUAACAGUC